UACGAAGGGGGCUAGCGUUGCUCGGAAUCACUGGGCGUAAAGCGCACGUAGGCGGAUCUUUAAGUCAGGGGUGAAAUCCUGGAGCUCAACUCCAGAACUGCCUUUGAUACUGAGGAUCUUGAGUUCGGGAGAGGUGAGUGGAACUGCGAGUGUAGAGGUGAAAUUCGUAGAUAUUCGGAAGAACACCAGUGGCGAAGGCGGCUAUCGUGGACGGUUUCUGACGCUAAGACGCGAAAGCGUGGGGAGCGAACGGGG
rnacentral:rRNA from 1 species